AACCUCCGCAAUGUGAGAAAUCGCGACGGGGGGAUCCCAAGUGCCAUUCUUAACGGGAUGGCUUUUCAUUAGUGUAAAGAGCUUUUGGAAUAAGGGCUGGGCAAGACCGGUGCCAGCCGCCGCGGUAACACCGGCAGCUCUAGUGGUAGCAGUUUUUAUUGGGCCUAAAGCGUCCGUAGCCGGUUUAAUAAGUCUCUGGUGAAAUCCUGUAGCUUAACUGUGGGAAUUGCUGGAGGUACUAUUAGACUUGAGACCGGGAGAGGUUAGAGGUACUUCCAGGGUAGAGGUGAAAUUCUGUAGUCCUGGGAGGACCGCCUGUUGCGAAGGCGUCUAACUGGAACGGUUCUGACGGUGAGGGACGAAAGUUAGGGGCGCGAACCGGAUUAGAUACCCGGGUAGUCCUAACUGUAAACGAUGCGGACUUGGUGUUGGGGUGGCUUUGAGCUGCUCCAGUGCCGAAGGGAAGCUGUUAAGUCCGCCGCCUGGGAAGUACGGUCGCAAGACUGAAACUUAAAGGAAGU
rnacentral:rRNA from 1 species